CUACGGGUUGCACCAGUGGGGAAUAUUGCACAAUGGAGGAAACUCUGAUGCAGCAACGCCGCGUGGAGGAUGACACUUUUCGGAGCGUAAACUCCUUUUAUAUAGGAAGAAGAUGACGGUACUAUAUGAAUAAGCGCCGGCUAACUCCGUGCCAGCAGCCGCGGUAAUACGGAGGACGCAAGCGUUACUCGGAAUCACUGGGCGUAAAGAGCGUGUAGGCGGAUUAAAAAGUCAGAAGUGAAAUCCUAUAGCUUAACUAUAGAACUGCUUCUGAAACUCUUAAUCUAGAAUAUGGGAGAGGUAGAUGGAAUUUCUGGUGUAGGGGUAAAAUCCGUAGAGAUCAGAAGGAAUACCGAUUGCGAAGGCGAUCUACUAGAACAUUAUUGACGCUGAGACGCGAAAGCGUGGGGAGCAAACAGGAUUAGAUACCCGCGUAGUC
rnacentral:rRNA from 1 species